rnacentral:rRNA from 1 species
GACGAACGCUGGCGGCGUGCUUAACACAUGCAAGUCGAACGGAAAGGCCCUGCUUUUGCGGGGUGCUCGAGUGGCGAACGGGUGAGUAACACGUGAGUAACCUGCCCUUGACUUUGGGAUAACUUCAGGAAACUGGGGCUAAUACCGGAUAGGAGCUCCUGCUGCAUGGUGGGGGUUGGAAAGUUUCGGCGGUUGGGGAUGGACUCGCGGCUUAUCAGCUUGUUGGUGGGGUAGUGGCUUACCAAGGCUUUGACGGGUAGCCGGCCUGAGAGGGUGACCGGCCACAUUGGGGCUGAGAUACGGCCCAGACUCCUACGGGAGGCAGCAGUGGGGAAUAUUGCACAAUGGGCGGAAGCCUGAUGCAGCAACGCCGCGUGCGGGAUGACGGCCUUCGGGUUGUAAACCGCUUUCGCCUGUGACGAAGCGUGAGUGACGGUAAUGGGUAAAGAAGCACCGGCUAACUACGUG